AGAGAGAGGACUGCUGAACUUGCCUAAAGACAUCUGAAAAAUGCAGGUUGGAAUUCAAGAGAAAUUAUAGGUUGACUAUCAAAUACAUUACACAGUCUGAAUUCUAUGGUACACAGCACCCAUAUGACUCUUAAGAGCAGUAUCAAGAUAUAACAAAUGGCAUUUUAGAUUCAUCAAAUAUCAGAACUGUAACACGACUGUCUGAUGCAACUCAUUCAUUUCACUGAAGUAGACACUGAGAUUCAGAAGUGACAAGAACUGGAAUGCACUUCCGCAGUACAGUAGGUGGCCUUCUUACAAGCAGAAGGGCCCACUCAGCAGAUCCAGUAUGAGGCAAGGCACUUCCUACUUGUAAAGUCACAUCUGGGAAUGAGUGAAGAAGAGCGGUGUCAAGAGCCUAGAGCGUCACAGGAGAAGCUUGCUUGCUUGAGCAAUGGCAUGAACACUUUUAUUCUGCAAAGAAUCAUCGUUGUCUCAAUUUCCAGAUUUUGGCCAAACAGCUUUCUAUAAAUAAGAAGAUAGACAUUUUUUAUUUCGGAAACUUGAUUCUAGUUUGUCUAUAUAAACACUCUAGUGUCUAAUAAACACUCAAUCUGUAGCUUGUCAAACCUAUGCAGUGGUUCUUGUUUAAUUGUCACCUUAUAUAUGUGAAGUGUGUCCUCUGGAGUCUGAUUAUGAGGACAGUUUUGGCAGAGUUGUCAGCAAGAAACAAGGUAAUUCUAUGCCAAUUAAAUUUAUCAACAUGCUAAUUAUUUUUGUUUUGUUUUCUGAUCAGAUAAAAUAUGAUCCUGUAUCUCCUGUGUAUAAAUGUUAGGGUAUCACUUUGCCCUGUGUAUUCUAGUACUAUGGCUUGUACUAUUUUGCUAAUUUGGGCUAGUUUCUCUUUAUUGUGAUUUCAUGUUUAUAAGUUAUUGCUUCAACUCUGAAAUAAUUUACAAAAUGAGAUAUCUUGUGUGUGUGUGUGUGUGUGUGUGUGUGUGUGUGUGUGUUGGGAGGUGUAAAUCCAUUAGUAUUCAUAGGAAAACAUAAUUAUGCCAAAAACCCUGUCUCGUGGUUUUGGAGUACUGUGAAUAAAGAAACAAAAUGUGAUAGUGUUUUAUGAAUUCUCAAAGAUCUUCAAGACCAAGUGUAGUUUAUUUCUUAUUGAUUUUUAACACUUUCAAAUUCUUAAAGCAUAGUCUUCACCUCUUGGCUUUUUAAUUAGAUGUUAUGAGCAUAUCCUAAGUGUCAAUAGAACUCUCAAGAAUUGUCUUAAACUUUAUAAGAAACAGGAAGUAAAAAGUGCUUUAUUUUGGUAUUUGGAAGUCACAUUCCUUACACGGAGAAGAGUAAAUUCAAAGAAGGGUUUACUUCACAUGCCUGAGUUCAGAGUGUGAUACCUAAUACAAUAAUAAAUGAAUAAAUAAAUAAAUGCAUAUUCUAAGCCUUUUUAUAUUACUUAGUCUUGAUGUCAUUUUUCUUUUGAUGUUAUAGUGUGACAUUUUUAUCACCUAGUAUUAAAGUUAGUAGCCAUGUCUAUUAUGUUUGUGAAUUGGUCACAUUUGAGUUUACUAAGGUCUUUACUAUUGAUUCAGACAUGGUAGCGGCAUACUUAAAGACAGUUACAGAGAAGGGAGCUAUGCCGAGUGACAUUAUUACGUUCAUUAUCAGUUUCUCUGUUUCCUGUAUAUGUGCAUGCCUUCUACUGUGAUUAUAAAAUAAAAUGUACUCAAAUCUACUUGAGAAAAAUAGUCAUUUAUGAUUUGUACAGAUUAUGUUAUGUAGAAACUUUUUUUUUGAAGGCAUUGUAGGUCAGCUUAUCUCUGAUACACCAUCUGUAUGACCUCAGUUGGUAGACCUGGAAUCCAGGGCCUUAAAUGGGUAAAAUGGGUUACAGACUUUCCCAAGCACCCUACCUUCUAAUCUCUCUCUCUCUCUCUCUCUCUCUCUCU